UAUAAUUUUUGAUUUUUCGUCUUAUUAAAAAAAUUUUUGUGAUUGAUAUUUUUGUUUUUAUUAGAUGAUAAAUCAUGAAUAGUAUUUUACAUGUGAUUAAUUUUUUUCUAAUUUUUUGAAAAUUUUUCAAAUAAGACGGAUGGUUAAACGUUGAACGCAGAAACC
rnacentral:pre_miRNA from 1 species